rnacentral:rRNA from 1 species
UACGUAGGGCGCAAGCGUUGUCCGGAAUUAUUGGGCGUAAAGAGCUCGUAGGCGGCUCGUCACGUCGGAUGUGAAAGCCCGGGGCUUAACCCCGGGUCUGCAUUCGAUACGGGCUAGCUAGAGUGUGGUAGGGGAGAUCGGAAUUCCUGGUGUAGCGGUGAAAUGCGCAGAUAUCAGGAGGAACACCGGUGGCGAAGGCGGAUCUCUGGGCCAUUACUGACGCUGAGGAGCGAAAGCGUGGGGAGCGAACAGG